GCCAGGGUGGCAUAGUGGUUAGCGCAACUGCCUGGUGAGCAGGAGACACGGGUUCGAAUUCCGACCUUGGCA